UUUUGAGUUGUGGUGACUGUUUCUAAUCAGUUUUGAUUUUUAUCUGAAUCUCAUCUACAAGCCCUACCUCAAAACUUAUUUAAGCAUUUCCAGCUUGCGAUUUUCAGUAAUGAUGAAGCUUUUAAGAGACCGACUAUCUUUCAGAUACUUUUCAGACUCUCACACUAGGGCUAUGCAGUAGAAGAUAUUUUUGGACAAGAAUUACCCUACUCCUCAGAGCAAAGGAGGCAUUCUGAAAGACGGAGUGAAAGUUACAUCGAGUGUGCCUGCCUCUCCUGCCUCUCCUUCCACCUCCUCUAACUCUCCUGCUUCUACCACCCCUGAGACAGCAAGACCAACCUCUCGUCAGCCUAUUCAAUGUGAAGAAAAUAAGGAGGAAGACCUUAUGAGGACCUACGUCCAAUCAAUAAAUAACUUGCGGGAGGUUCUGGAGUCCCAUGGUUAUUAAUCUCUGGAGGCUUCACCAUCCUUUGUGGGUUCCUUUAAUUAUCUCCAUUGCCUCAAAAGCUAAAAAAGCAAGUCUUGCAGUUUGGUGGGAGAGAGUAUGCAGUCACCAACAUGGCAUGAAUUUAGGAGUGAAUAAACGAAAGAAAAGAAAAAAACCUAUUAUUUAGAGUGCUAUGAAUGGUGUAAGCAAGCCUCUUUUGAGAGAGAAGAGCUUCACGGAGAAGCAGAUUUUGCUGGUGGUGAAACAGGGGAAGGUCAUUCCUGGCAGAGGGAGCAGGUGAGCCCAGGACAGGCCUGAUAGAAGUCAGUCUGACUCUUCCUUGACCACUUUAAGCCCCAGUAGCCGGCCCAGAUCCUCCCACGAUUCUUGCUGCCUCCCGAACUGCAGUGUGAGCAAAUGAGAUAAGUACAAAAUAUUCCUACACCACUGGCUCCAUGCUCUCCUCAUAUUCAAUCAUGAAGACUAAUGAACCAGAGAUGAUUACGGUGGUAAAAAUCCAAAUGCAGAUUUUUGCUGUCCUUACUAAUGAGAGAAAAAUAUAGUAGACCAUUGGCCUAAAGGCUCCAGAUGCGAUUCCUUUGUAACUUAGAGUGCAUUAAAAAAGCUUCAGUCAGCAAGAUAAGUUAAUUUUUUUAUGACCUUUAUAAACUCUUUUAGCCUGUAUCUCGGGAGCUUCUUAAAGAUUAAAUUUUAAAAAAUCCUUUUAGCUCAGGCCAACACAGCAUCUGAGUCUUUUUUGCUUCCAAGGCUACAUCCAAAAUCUAUAAAAAAAUUCUGUUCAUGACAAUUAUUGUCAAAGUAAUGAUUAGCUAACAUGUCAUUUUUAGUUUUUACUGUUCUUGCCUCUAUGAGACUAAUCCAAUAAAGCUCACAUCUUCUUAAUGUAAAAGUUGCAUGAAGGAUGCAUUAUUCCCGUUGACUUUGCCUACAUUUGCAAAUUCUUGAAAAAGCAAAUUGAAUUGUCACUAGUGGCACCUCUUUCACAGGAUGAUUGUUGGGUCAAAGUGAGAGUGUAGGGGACAAAUAUCAAGAUUUUUGUUAAAAGAAAAAAAUCCCUACCUAAGAACUGUAAAGCUGUAUUAAUAUAUAAUUGAGGCCAUGGACUUUAGUAGACCAUAAGGCACAGCUACCCAAGGUGAUGGGUAUAAUUUUGCAGGGGGAGGAAUGUCGGAGGAAUGUGAAGGGCUCUUCAUUGAUGGCAUCACAAAUUUAAUUUAUUAUGUGAAACAUGUAGUUUCUUCUCACCUCUUUGGUUGUAGGAUAACUGCUCCUUUUAAACACUGUGCUUUUGACUGGCUUGAUUGGUAACUACAAAAGUCAUCAUCCUAGGCAUCUGUCACUACUUCUAUUACAUCCAACCUACUGACCCAGAAAAUCUGUGGUUGACACAAUUGAUUUCUCUAAAAGAUUCAUUCAGCAUUUAUUUUAUUUUUGACAUCCACCUACAAGGUCCCACAGAAAUUUAGUACCUACAUCUCUGUGUAAGAGAAACACAGCCCUUUAUAAAAAGUGCAUAUCCUGAAGUGAGGAGCUGGAACAAAGCAGGAGUCUUGCUUAGAAUGAUUCACUGAAGUAACUGGAUUUAUUAAGAUGUAUGUGAGCUUUGGUGACUAUGCCACUGAAGACAUUUGUGCUCACCUCGUGAGAGGCUGCCACUGGAAAUAACAAC
rnacentral:lncRNA from 10 species